AACGAACGCUGGCGGCAGGCUUAACACAUGCGAGUCGAACGGGUGUAGCAAUACAUCAGUGGCAGACGGGUGAGUAACACGUGGGAACCUUCCUAGGGGUACGGAACAACUCAGGGAAACUUGAGCUAAUACCGUAUACGUCCGUGAGGAGAAAGAUUUAUCGCCCUUAGACGGGCCCGCGUCGGAUUAGCUAGUUGGUGGGGUAACGGCCUACCAAGGCGACGAUCCGUAGCUGAUCUUAGAGGAUGAUCAGCCACACUGGGACUGAGACGCGGCCCAGACUCCUACGGGAGGCAGCAGUGGGGAAUCUUGGACAAUGGGCGCAAGCUUGAUCCAGCCGUGCCGCGUGAGUGAAGAAGGUCUUCGGAUUGUAAAGCUCUUUUGCCAGGGACGAUAAUGACGGUACCUGGAGAAUAAGCCCCGGCAAACUUCGUGCCAGCCGCCGCUGUAA
rnacentral:rRNA from 1 species